AUCCGCCGAAGCACCGCUCUCUGUUUCCCCUUCCAGAAACUUCUGUACGUAGUUCAUAAAUACCCCACUCCGCUCGGCCCGCUUCGGCUCCUUGCCCAUAUCCGAUAACAGCAAAACCCCGCCCCAACGCCAAGCUCACCAUAGCUCUCAAUUAAUUUAGUCUUUUCACAGUGAGCAAUCCAGUUGGGUGCUCAUGGAGCGCGUCGUGGUGGUGAAGGACGAGGAGGAGAUGGAGGUCCCUCAGCCGAUGCCGGGGCUGCACGAGAUCGGGCCGCCGCCAUUCCUGACGAAGACGUUCGAGAUGGUGGAGGACCCGGAGACGGACGCGGUGGUGUCGUGGAGUAGAGCUCGGAAUAGCUUCGUUGUUUGGGACUCGCAUAGGUUCGCCACCACUCUCCUCCCCAGGUACUUCAAGCACAACAACUUCUCCAGCUUCAUUCGCCAGCUUAACACUUACGGCUUUCGAAAAGUGGAUCCGGACCGAUGGGAAUUCGCGAACGGGGGCUUCCUGGGAGGCCAGAAGCAGCUCCUCAGGAACAUCAAGAGGCGGCGUAACGUCGGCCAGAGCUCCAAUCAGCAGCAGCAGCAGGGUGGCGGCGCGUGCGUGGAAUUGGGGAAAUUCGGGCUCGAAGCUGAAGUGGAUCGACUGAGAAGAGACCGGAACGUUCUGAUGCUGGAGAUUGUGAAGCUCAGGCAGCAGCAGCAGAGCUCCCGGUCCCUGCUCCUCGAAAUGGAACGGCGAAUGCAGGGCACCGAGCGGAAGCAGCAGCGGACCAUGGCGUUCCUGGCUCGAGCUCUCAAGAACCCGCUGUUCAUCCGGCAGCUUCUGGUUCGAAGCCAGCAGAUGAAACAACUGCCAGGAGCAGGCAGGAAGCGGAGACUCCCGGCGACUCCGAGCUCGGAGAAUCUGCGAGCAGGUGAAGAAGACGAAUCGGCCAUCCAAUCGGAGAUGGAGAGUCUGCUGUCUGCCCUGGACAGCGGCGUGGGCGGCUCGAGCAUCGGCCGGAAGAAUGAACAGACGUUCGACGCUAUGGAUCAGAGCUCGGGCGCGAUCACCGAUCUGAUAUGGGAGGAUCUGCUGCUGAACGAGAGUCUGCUUGUAGGGAAUGAGGCAGCGCAAGGAGAGCAGCCGGGGAUGGAAGUCGCGCCGGAGGAACUGGCGGCAGAGCAAAUUGAGUGGGGCGACGAGGUGCAGGACUUGGUGGAUCAGAUGGGCUACUUGGCUUCAUCUCCAGAGCCUUAGAUUGUAUUUAGAUUUGUGUCGGUGCUUUGUUAGUUCUUGGUUGGUCCGGUCCGAGUCUGCCACCUCCGCCAUCAUUGUCCAGUGGGUAUCCUUGUGUCCGCACUUAGCGUAGGUUCUUUGUUGCAGUAAACGUGUCUUAGUGCUUCGCGCGAAGUGUUGCUGAAUAAUGGCAUCUCUUGACCUGCAGGCAGUAGUUGAAGAAAGGAAGAAGCAAUCCAGGAGAGAUGUCUUCCACAUGGGUCUUCUAUGUUGAUUGAAAAUUGCAGUCAUGGUUUGAUUGAUGAAGACAUUUCAAGAGUCUGCAGAGGAGACUACUCUUGCAAGUAAACAAAGCAGAGUUUCUUAUCUGCUUUGGGUGCAGGUGCAGGACUGAGUUUGAGUGCUUAGGAGUGUCAAGGGAGGUAAAAAAAUGGAGGGGUUAAUGGUACAGAAUAGUUAAUGGAUUUCAAAACUUUGGGGAACUUUUUGCAAUGCUCGAGGAGCCGCAGGCCCGCAGGUGUCAAAAACUUUAGGUGUUCUUGAAUUAGAUGAAGCUGAUAAAGAUAUGCCAGUGAAUGGCUGGCCAAGAUAAAAGAGAAUUCGAGCAAUCCUUUUCUAGCUUAUGAUGGUUCUCAGUUAGGAUUACCAAAAUGCCUCCAAGAGAAGGUCGAUCACCUUUUCAUCAAAAUUAGCUUAUUUUAACCUACUUGUUGGAAUGUUCUACCUGUGAUGGCCUACUGAUCGCUUAUUCUGCUUUUGCUGCUUCAGCACUUGCUUCCGGCACCUCCAAUUUCAACUUCUUUGACCAAGCAUCACGAUAAGCCAUAUAACAACUAUCAUUGUACUGUGUAUCGCUUUAUCAUUGUGUAAAACUGAUGUAUGGUGGUGUUUUUCUACGUUCAACUACUAAAUUUGAUUUUGAAGAAGCAUCAGUGAAUCUUGACAUGCCAAAUUCACAGCAUACAUGAAAGAGAAUGGGAGGAAGACAAGUGAACGACUGAUGCCAAGAGAAGGCAUCGGAAUUUGACAUCAGUUUGGAGAGUAUUGCAAGAGACUUUUGUUGGUCGGCUAGAGUUAUUGAGCACCUAUAUCAACUGCUGCUGUGACUGGCUAGGGCAGGGAAGGGCAGCUGUCAUUUAGGUUUCUGCUACAAUUUUUGGUAGUAGUGUUCAGGCUGAAGCAUGUAUCAGUUUGGGUUGGCAAAAUUGAUCCAUUGAUGCAGAUGCAUGAUGGUCAAUUUUUCUUAGUGGUGUACUAGUGUUCCACUCCAGCUUUGGUGCAGCAGAUCUUGAGCUAUUUUGUGCAUGCAUGGCGCUGUAAAGCUCUGUGCAUCAGAAAUGCAGAUUGAAACAGAAGAAGGGAACAUGCAAUCAUUCCUUGCAUGAUGUAAUCCAAUCAAACUUGAUGUCAUUGUCUCGGCCUCCUUGCGUGAAGCGACACUUCUAUCCUCCUUGUGUCUGUGCAGUCAUCGACAGCUCUUCUGAAGUUUGCCUUCGUCGUCCUUUAAUGUCUCAAAUAAGAUAUCCGGAGUUGUGGUUACAUACUUCCUACGGACUGUUCCAAAGCAAAAUCUGCAAGCAUUCAGAAUGAUUAAUUCAGGGAAGACUGGGUAUUUUCUGUUGUAAAUUUGGGUUCUUUAACUCCAUUUGCUUGUUGGUCACUAAAGCUCGGCUUUUUGUGAGCAAGUAGACUCGGGUUAUUCAACUCUGUUCGGGUUCUUUCUUUGAAGUUUUUGCAGCGAGUAGUGCGGAAAAACUGAAGGCAAAGAAAUGGUACUGGAGUUACUAGAAGCCAUAGAUAAAACGAUUGAGCCAGUAAUGGUCUCCAUAAAAUUUGCAGCAAGCUAGUUCACCGGAAUGGCGGCCUUCUGUAUAAUCUCAGCGUUUUGAAGUGUUCCUAAAUGACCUUUAAGCCUGGUGUUCAUCAAGGCCAGAUUGGGGUAGUUCACCAAAAUGGCCUGCUGGCUACUCUGGACUAGUUGUAUCACCUUGUAGAUCUAAAUCCUUUUAUUGCGUGAAACCGGAGAUUAUAUUAA